ensembl:lncRNA
CCCCACGGCUGUCAGACCAAGUCGGGCCUUUUCGUCAGCGAUCACCGCGGCGAUGUUGACCUUUGGGACCGCCGGCUGGCAAAGUGACGUCGACGCCAGCGUCUCGGCGGUAAACAAAACACCGGGGAGACGAACGCUCCUUCAGGCCGUUUCAGUUCAAUCCAUCAACUUCCAGGAUAAACACCAAAAAGAGAAAAUCCUGUUUUUCCCCCCACGCUGUCUUUGCAGAGAGAUCGUGCUGUUCGCAGAGGCCGACGCGCAGAGCCCGGUCCUUUUUGGGGGUCGGCUGACUUUGUGUUUAACUCCACGUUUAAAUCAUCGUGGGAAAUUCCCUCAUUUGCUUUGUUGCUGAGAGAUUCGCAGAUUUCUGAAACUCGUUUUCAGUCAAAGCUGGAAGCCAGUUCUGAAACCUUCUUACUGUCACUGCUGACCGCCGAACAGACACGCCCGUCUGUGAGCCGUCUGUGAGCCGUCUGUUUUCAGCCCGUUGCCUACAUAAACUUGUCACAGUGCAAACUCCUUGCUGACAGUUUAACCAAAAGGCGUUUCCAGUGGAAACUGGCCGACAGAUCCUCAGCACAACCAUGUAUAACAUCCACAGAACUUAAAAAGAGGUUAUACACACGAUACGGUAACAUUAUGUUGAAGCACAGUACUGUGCUAAACCAGUUCCACCACUGGAGUUGCAGCAUUUUUAUAAACCAGUUCUGGUUCAACCUCCUCUCUCCGUCGCCGCCGUGCUUUUUCCGCCAUGUGCGUAUGAAAACAGGCACUGCGCAUGCGCGUGUUACCCACGUUCUAUCGCCAUAUUUUCUUAUCGUUGCCCAACGUUAUACCGGUAUUACCAUGAACGGGAUGAUGUGGCCCAGCCCUGUCCCUCACUUCCUGCUUUUCCAGCGUUUCAUCAGUGCUGUCAGUCUGCUUUCACUCUCAGCAGCAAAGUGAAAAUAGUCAGAGUAUAAUACGUUGGAGUUUCGCUCUUUAAUAACAGCUCGGUUACCGUCCGCUACUUUAUGCCUUUCACCUGCAGAGCUCAGCAGGCGUGUCCACGCCAACACGGUUUCCGCGAGUCUUACAGGAAACGCUCGAGUUUUCCAUCAUCUUCCCGGAGGUCAGCGGAGCGAGACGGCUCCGCUUGGCCGUCUGAUUCCUCGCUCUCUCUUUUUAUUCUAACAAACGGACAGCGCCUCCCGGGCGCCUUUCCAGUUUUGUGUUUUUGAUUCACCUCCGUCUCCUUCCUCGACACAGCCGAGCCGCUGAGAUCACAAAGAUGCCCGACAGGGUGGAGUGUGUGUAUGUGCGUGAUGAGAUGGAUCGUUUGCAGGUGUGUUGGAGAAAAGAGAAGUCGGAGGUCAAGGAGGGGUUUGUAGGAUGCAGGCAGACAGACGACGGAUCAGAUAGCGGAUCCGAGGAGACGAGGCGGCUGGGAGGUGAGAGGAGCUCUGCUUUGAUUGGAGGGAGAUGAACAAUGAUGUCUUCAACAGGAAGCCCGUUUUAUCAAACUCCUUCUAACCUUUCUAGAAACCUCACACCUAAUGAGCUCCUCUCCUGAGCCGAGCUGUGAAGUCUCAUUACGUCAAACACAGUUUUAAUUGAGCCGCUUGAAGUUUCCAAAGUCUGUGAGAAACGACUUGAUGGUGCAGCAGCUUCUCUCGGCCUCCCCGCCCGUCUCCAGGUGAACUUCAGAACUGGUCCCACCUCUGAUAUGAGCUCCUGCUGCUCACAUCUCACGCAGCCCCGAGGGUGAGAGCUGAGCCGGCUGGUGGAAAACAGUUUUCAGAAUAAGACAAAGGCUUCAUGUUUUGCUUUAUUCUCUCGUGUUUUUGUUGAGAAAAUAAUUGAAUGUUGUAAAAAGGGUGAGGCGGGAUUUGAAGGGCUCGCUGGCUUCUAAUGAAACGCCUUCAAGCUGUAAACGAAAGACAUAAAAAAGUUUCAGAAGACGGCGGCAGGCAGAGCGAUGGUGGAGGAGAUGAAGGCAGGUUGGAUAGGAAAGUUUCAGUAAGUGUGUGGGAGCAGGUGAGGUGCAUGUAAGGGGGGCUUUGUAGGUUUUUAAUUAACGUCUGGUUGCUUGUUAGAGCGUGAGAGCAGAGAUGAGCCGCGGAUGCUGAGGGCUCAUUCUCAAGCAGGUAAAACAGAAGUGCAGAAAAUCAGGCGAUGCAGAUUAUUUAUGUCACUCUGAAAACUUCCUCAUGCAGUCGCAGCCGUUUGAGAUGCCAGCAGGCAUCAGCAGGAGCUCCAGAGGAGGAGGCUGUGUCGAGGAAGGAGGCGCGCCGCUGUGCCUCGGCGGCGCUUUCUUUGUCUCCGUUUGAAUCCCCGUUUCCAGUUAGCACAACAGUGUGUCUUAAUUAACCUCAGCCAGUCUGAUAGUAUUUCAGCACUAAUGGCUUCCCAAUAAAGAACGCCGUGGCUUCCUGCGUGGGAGACGGCGCCCAGCGCUGUGGCCGAGGCGAGCUGUCACAAGUGACUGAUGCUGAGUGACAGCUGAAGUAGUAUUUUAAUGGCAAAGGCGGUGCCUGUUUUUCUUUAACUCACCGGUGCAUUUGUAGAGUAGAAUCUGUCCCCACCCUGCUGUGGAAAGCAGUGUGCCAAAACAAAGCGCCCGUGGAGCUCGCGAUCUCGCGAUCUCUUGAUUCUGACAAAAACAGUUCGUUACCAGCACGUCAGUAACAACUACAGGCCUCGAGUUGGACCAAAGGAGGUGCUACUCUUUCACUCUCUCUUUUCUUUCUGCUUUUAUUGCCAUGUUUUUAAGCAGGUUCAAACUGUAGCGCAUGACUUUAGUCGCCCCCUUCUGGCAGUGAGAGUAACUGCACACUGACAGAAGGAAAAGUUGCAAACGACAAAGAUUUUACUUUGUGCGUAAAGGCUUAAAGGUCCUUUUUGUAACUGCUCUCUUCAACUGUAACUAAAUGUGUCACCACCAGGGGGCAGCAUUUAACAGCGCGCGAGUUGAGAUGUUUCCAGAUGUUUGCUGCUGUUUCAUUGCUGCUGUUGGCCUCCCACUAGACCACCAUUGUGUUCCAUACGCUGCACCACCCCGUGGAGGGACACGCCGCCCUCGUUUUCCCCACAUUUCACUGUGAUUGCUUUCGUUAAUUUUGGAAGGUUUUAAAUUGUAUUUACUCGCAGGAAUUUACAACAAGUACCUUUAAUGAGUGCGCUGUGACGUCUUGGAUUUAUAACAAAGUCGUGCACUGCAGCUUUAAGCCCUGCAGAGUCCUUACCUUCUGCACAUGUGCAUUACUUGUGAAAACAGGACAUUUUCUUAUCUACGGUCUCAUUUUGACGAGUCUUGUUCCUUUUUUUGUAUCUUGUACAUGUUUACAUUGUAUCUCGCAUUGCCCAAAAGAGAAACAAUAUUAAAUGUAUAAUCUUUGUUGUUUUAAA